GGGAAUUUAAAAAAUACAAACCUGAGGGGUCAGCUGUAGCAUUUGAAGUUUACAAAAGGUUUAAUAAAAUCUGUAAAAAGGAGAUAAGAUUUGCAAAAAUACAAAACAAACAGCAGGUGUCAAAAGAGAGCAAAACAAAUCCCC